GAUGAACGCUGGCGGCGUGCCUAAUACAUGCAAGUCGAGCGAACGGACGAGAAGCUUGCUUCUCUGAUGUUAGCGGCGGACGGGUGAGUAACACGUGGAUAACCUACCUAUAAGACUGGGAUAACUUCGGGAAACCGGAGCUAAUACCGGAUGAUAUUUUGAACCGCAUGGUUCAAAAGUGAAAGACGGUCUUGCUGUCACUUAUGGAUGGAUCCGCGCUGCAUUAGCUAGUUGGUAAGGUAACGGCUUACCAAGGCAACGAUGCAUAGCCGACCUGAGAGGGUGAUCGGCCACACUGGAACUGAGACACGGUCCAGACUCCUACGGGAGGCAGCAGUAGGGAAUCUUCCGCAAAGGGCGAAAGCCUGACGGAGCAACGCCGCGUGAGUGAUGAAGGUCUUCGGAUCGUAAAACUCUGUUAUUAGGGAAGAACAUAUGUGUAAGUAACUGUGCACAUCUUGACGGUACCUAAUCAGAAAGCCACGGCUAACUACGUG
rnacentral:rRNA from 1 species